AAAAACACGAGACACUGUUUGUUCCAUGCAAAUGAAGAGACGACAGUGUUGCACAAACAGAUGAAUCCAGACGUAGUGUCCAAAGCUGAUCACACAGUACCUUGCUCAUACAGGUAUCCAGAUAUUGAAGACCUUCGUGGUUCCUAGAAAUGUUUUCACAGGGUACACAUGGACGGGCUGGCUCUGACCGAAGGCACAGAAAGCAACCAUGUUCUCGUGAGGGUGGAAGGACACACCGUGGAGGGCAGUGGGAUAACAAAGCUCAGAGUACACUGCGACUUGGUCACCUGGCAAGAAAAGAAAACAGGACGUACGCCAUCCCAUCCUCACUGCCGGAGAAGAGGAAGUUCCCGCAUGGUCCAUCAUCCUCAGGACACUGUCUUUGGCGUGGAUGAGCAGGCACCGGCCGUUUGGAUGAAGCUGCAGCUUGUUGAUGGGAAUGCCGCGGAGGUCACUCUCAUCGAUCUUCUGCCAGUUGACAACACAUAGCAUUUGAGGUUACAGAUAAAUAUUUCUCUAAAGUCUCUUGAUACAGUAUGUGAAAUGACCAAUACCUUCUCUAUGCACCAGCGAUGACAUGGCGGCUGCCUGCUGUCAUUCACUGCAGUUUUCCAGACAAUGAUGAGGCCUGUGUUGUCUGCAGAGAACAUUCUCAUCCCUGAUCAUGACAAACAGAGCAAAAGGAAAAACAUGGGCUAACUGAAGACACAUGAUAAAACUAAAGAUGCCCAGAAUCAUACCACCAACUUUGUAACAGCGCACAAAUUAAUUUAAAAAUGGAAAAUUAGAUUUUGUCCUGUUUUUCAGAAAGGAACACAUGCAUGUGCUGAUUGAAAUUUGGAUGUGAUUAAAAGAUAUAAAGAAAAAUAUAGAUAGAACAGACCAAAGAAAUCUAAAUCUAUCAAAAAUAACAAUGUUUAUAAUGGUCAGCGUUUCUUAAGUCUUAUAAAUCCCCACCAUAUUGGUGUUUUAUAUUGAAAACCCAAACAUUACGGAAGAGGAUGCAUUUAUUCUCAUCGUCUAAAAGGUUGGUGGCAGGACGCCGAUCUCGAAGUGGGUUAGAGGCCAGGUACACAGGUUUGCUUAUCUUCAAAUAGAGCUUGCACACAUACACACAGUGCACUGGGAACCUCUUACCUUCAGAGUCGAAACAAAUGGUGUUGAUGAAACUGCCGUGACCCUCAAACUCCUGCAGCAGCUGGCCAUUCACAUCGUCAACGUCGAGCCUCCACACUCGCACCAGACUGUCGUAGCCCCCGGUCACCACCAGGUUCUGGGCUGUGGGGUGGUACUGAGCACAGUACAUGAAGGACGGAUGAGGGAGCACCUUCUGAGCCGCUCCCAGUAGCCUCUCCACAUUCCACUCCCUGACAGAAAUGAACGUCAUGCACAUAUUAAUUUGAAUGCAAAUGCAGUAAUGUGAUGAAACUCCACAUAGAGGCACAAGUACAAAUUGCAAAUCAGUCACCAAUAGUAAGAUCUCAUACACAGCUUCUUAAGUCAUUCCCUAUCAGUGCUAUUAAUCAUUUAACUUACCGGACAGUUCCAUCAGAGGAGGCAGACAGAAGUCUCUGGUCGUCUCUGGACCAGCAGAGAUCAUAGACUAUUUUCAGAUGACCGCUGAAGGCAGCCAAACUCUUGCCUGAGGGAAUAUCAUACACUGAAACGGCAAAUGACCCAGGUUAGUUUUUAAAUGGUAUAUUUUUUUGUGCGUGUUUGAAUAUUGCUUAUGCCUGAGGUCAUUCCCAGUGAUGUUUGUGACUGUUGUGUGCAAACAACAAUUUAAUUGGCUGGAGAUUUAUGCUGAGUAGUCAAGAGGAGCCGCCGCAGGGGAGGUGUGGCUUACCUACGACAGGGAAAGAAUCUCGGUCGGCACAAGCAGCAGCCAGUAUGGUGCCAGCAUGAGAGAAGAGCACCGUGAAACAGCCCAUCUGACCACCACGAAACGUCAGCAUGGGCUUGUUGGGAAUCCGACAGACCUUCAGCAGAGAAACACUUAUAAGGCUUCUGUAGUUUAACAUGUCUGAGCACAGUCCAGAACAGACAGAAUGAGCCAAUAGAUCUGAGGUGGUUUCAGUCUACUUCAGGGCCAGAUGUAGCCUGAAAGGGCAGAACAUUUUUAAAAACUUCUUAAGUUUCUGCAAAGACUUCACCUCACACUUUCCAGUCUGCUGAUGAAGCUCAUGUGUCUUGCGACGAAUGCAGAUUAAAAUGGUCUCCGAGAAUGAUUCGUUAUACUCGAUCAGACUGGUUUAUUACAUCAUAACUAGGGCUGUGAAAUGAUUAAAAUUUUUAAUCAAAUUAA